rnacentral:misc_RNA from 1 species
AGAAACCUGGAUGAUUAAUCCAAUGGUCGAUGAUUUGAUGAACGCCGCCCAAACUUUGGUUGACACCAUCAGAUCACCUCUCUAGAGAGCAUACUAUUUGGAAAUUUUGGAGCAGUAUUUGGUUUUGACUGAGCUGGGCAAUGGCAUUUGGUCAUAGCUUAAGCUGGCAGACAGCAUUCAUUUCUUCGAAAACCCAAUUCAGAAAAGCUUCAAAUUCAAAGCUUUCUGUCUUAUCCUCUUCUGCUUUCGGAGUAACAAAAAGGGUCUCUUCCUCUGUUCGUGCUAUGGGUUCCUCUGCUUCUUCACAGAGACCAGAUAACAUUCAAGGUAGCUCUGUCUCUCUCUCUCCAUCUAGAUAAUGAUCUCUUGUGUCGCUGUUUGUUUAGAAAUUAUGUUUUCAAUGAGAAGUUUAACAAAAUUCUUUUUCAUAUUAGUUUGUCUUUUGUUAUGCAAUUUUCUUGGUUAUCAUGUUUGGCUUCACCUUAAUGUUUUGUUUAGGUGUUCCGUCUUGAUGAUUAGUUUCCCAAUUAGAUGCAUAAAUAUUUUAUAUUUUCAAUGCUUUAUCUAUUUUCCUUUUCAAUUGUUGAAAACCAUUAGGGUUUUUAUUUCAUGGGAUUGGCAUCAAUUAUCAGCAAGGAUGUUAUGAAAUUAUGGAAUUAAUUUUCUUUUCUUGCUCGCUGAUAUCUCUACUAUUGAACAAUUAUACGUAGGCACUAUGUCCAUGGGAGGGGGAUUUUCUAAAUGUGCUGAUCCUUGCUUUUCCACUGCUUUGCUCUUUGCUAGUUUGAGAAAGGUGAAAUUUUAGGUUUUCUACAUUAUGUUUUAACCACAAGAGUCCAGAACUUUCAGCCUGGUAGAGAAAGUAUUUGUAAGUGCACAUUUGCUGUGGUUUUUGUGAGACAAUUCUUGAACACAAAGGGACUCUGUAAAGUAUCAAUUAUCUGUAUCUGCUGUGUUGGUGACCAGAGAAAUGAAAUUGAUACUGUUUGGAUUUUUGACUUGAGUAAAAAUUCAGAAUCCUUAUAACCGUUUAAACUUGUAAACAUAUGUUGAUUCUGUUAGAUGGUGUGGAUCUUAUUAAUUUGGGUAAAUUUUAUCAUGUUCCUGAAUACUUUAGCAACGAAAGGAAAUUAGUCCUAAUGGUUUCAGUUGCCAAUCUUUAGCAUAGUUUAAGUAUCACUUAGUGUUUGCAUUUAUGGCUCACUGGAUUGUUCUUGCAUUGUUCUUAUUGACUGGAAUUCCUUUUGUUUGGACAACAAGUAUUCACGCUACUGAUAUUAGUAAUUUAGAGUUGUUUACUUUGUGUGUUCUCUAGUUGGCUCAAAAGAGGAAGCUAGCAUCUUGUGGAGAACUUCAUGAAUUUCUCAGUGAAAAUACUUAAAUUAAAAUUAACUACAUGCCUAAAACCAUUUUGGAUUCCUUGCAGCUAAUAUGCACAGAUGAUGGUAGGUCCAUUUUCUUGGGGUAGGGAAAGGGUGUAAUAUUAUCUAUUGAUUUAUCGUCCUUGAAGUUCUUGAUACCAUAGUGGAAUGAAGAAAAAAAAUCCACUUAUCUAUUUCUAUUAUCAUCAAUGUCAAAAUGGAUUUUGAUAAUUGCAUAGCCAUUGGCAAUUCUUGAUAAAAUUUCUUGAUCAACCUGUGUGAUUGUUUAGAUUUAGAAUAACAGAAGCCUUACUCAUUUUAACCAUUAAAACCCAUUUGCUUUCUCUUGUAGAGGCAGGAAAGGUUGAUUAUGCUUCUGUAAGUGAUGAUGAAUGGAAAAAGAGGCUUACAGUUGAGCAAUUUCACAUAACACGUCAAAAGGGAACCGAAAGGGCUUUCACUGGGUAUGAUUUUAUUAGAUGUAUUGUAGUUGUGUGCAAAUUUUUUACAGAAUUAUAAUUUAGGAGCUUCCAAGGCCUUCAAUAAUUUAGAGGCUGCCAGCUUCAAUAAUAUUGAUGUGAAGUUUAGAAGCAUGAGCAUUAUUAUAACUUGAAAUAUGCAGUGGAACAGGAACUAUCAGAAUUCUAACCAUUAAGAGGUCUGCUCAUUUCCACAACCAUAACAUAAAGAACCACUGAUGAUAUAUGCUGAAUUUUCGUUCAACAAUGCCCAGUUGAUUCAUUAUUCUUGAGGUGGUGUUUUUUCAUUUUCAGGGAAUACUGGAACACUAAAACCCCUGGAACUUACCACUGCAUAUGUUGUGAUACACCUCUAUUUGAGUACGUAAAUGGUUACAUGCAAGCCUGUGCCAAUGGAAUCAACUACUUUGAUGCUUAGUUGAAGUGACUCGUCUGUUCUCUCCUGCAGGUCAUCCACUAAAUUUGACAGCGGAACGGGUUGGCCAUCUUACUAUCAGCCAAUAGGAAGCAAUGUGAAAUCAAAGUUAGACUUGUCAAUUAUUUUCAUGCCUCGUCAAGAAGUUCUUUGUGCAGCUUGUGAUGCUCAUUUAGGCCAUGUCUUUGACGAUGGUCCGGCACCCACUGGAAAACGCUACUGUAUCAACAGUGCUUCCUUGAAGCUGAAACCUAAGUGAGAGACCUAUGGGCCAUGAAAGUGUCUGUCAAAGUUGAGAUAAGGUGAAGCACUUGUUUUCUUGUGUAUCUUGUGUACAUGUCAUGAUCCAUAUAUUCUUGUGUAAAGAUCAUGUCCACUUAGAUCUCAAUAAAUAAGUACAUGUCUUUACGUAGAUCGGUUCAUUAUGAAUUUAAAAUGCAAUAUGUACGAUGUGACUCACAAUAUUUGUAUUUUAAAUUCACAAUGAAUUAUAAAUAUAUUAAAUUUAAAUGGAUGUAUAUAUCAAAAAGAAAUUCUUUACAGCUUAUUUGGGAAGAAGUUUUUGAAUGUAAAUGAUGGGCUUAUAAAGUAUCAUACUUGUUUGGGGAGGAGGUAUUUUAAAGAAUAUAAGGAUUUCAGGGUUCAAAACUUUAAAAAAU